UACGAAGGGGGCUAGCGUUACUCGGAAUGACUGGGCGUAAAGGGCGCGUAGGCGGUUUGCUUAGUUAGGCGUGAAAUUCCUGGGCUCAACCUGGGGGCUGCGCUUAAUACAGGCAGACUAGAGUGUGAAAGAGGGUCGUGGAAUUUCCAGUGUAGAGGUGAAAUUCGUAGAUAUUGGAAAGAACACCGGUGGCGAAGGCGGCGACCUGGUUCAUUACUGACGCUGAGGCGCGAAAGCGUGGGGAGCAAACAGGAUUAGAUCCCCUGGUAGUCCACGCCGUAAACGAUGUGUGCUGGAUGUUAGGCAACCUAGUUGCUUAGUGUCGUAGCUAACGCGGUAAGCACACCGCCUGGGGAGUACGGCCGCAAGGUUGAA
rnacentral:rRNA from 1 species